rnacentral:lncRNA from 1 species
UUAAAAACAGGGACCGUUUUUUGCAGUUUUCUUAAAAAUGAACUUUCCAAACUGAGAAUUUAAUUCCUCAAGCUGAUUCAAUUAUAAAUGGCAAGAAACAAUCUGUUUUUGAGGCAGUUUAAGACUGUAGAUUAUAUGUAAGAGAUUCAGAGAAAUACACUUAUCGCCCUUUGGGCGUGGACCUUUGAUAGAUUUUAGUCACUGUGUCCAAUGAAAAAAAGGAGAAAAUAACUUCAAAUUAAGUUUCUUUUGCAAAAUCGAACUCCAAAAUGUGCUUUUAGUUUGUCAACAUUAUAUAUAUUUAUGUCUGAGCUGAAAUUUUUUUUUCACAGGCAAGCGGUGACCAACCAUCAAAAUUCCACGUUCAUUCCAUGUCAGGAAAAUCCACAGAAUGGGGGCUCAUGGAUGAGAAAUUGACUGUCGAAGAAGAAGAAGAUGAUGAAAAUAGUAUGACCGAUUCUAACAAUAAGCAGAACCAUGACAAGUCCAAUUUCUCUUAUCUUUCCAAUAAUCAGGAAAACUCUAGCUCACAUCAGAAUUCACUUAGUAAUUGGGAUGAUGCAAAUUGGAGUGUUAUAGAUGAUGUAGGACCAGGCUCAGAACCUGUCAUCGAACCAUCAGAAAAGAAAAGACCGGAACGACGCCAACGCCAAAAAGAUCAAGAAGUUAAGAGAGGUCCGAGACAAGGACCCAUGAAACUGUGUGUGAAAAAACCAGUACCAGACCUUCUAUAAUUUAAGUUAGGAUAAGUUAUUACUUUAUCAAUUAUUAAAGUUUAUCAUUCUGUUAAGUUUCAAGGAGCCUUACCUCCUUUUCACUGGUGCUGCCUUGAGUAAAUGGGGGCUCUUCAUUUAUGCUAUGCUGGAAAAUUUCGAGGACCUUAGGUAGGAAAUAUGGAACUCAUUAUUUAUUACCUGGUUAAAGUUGUUUAUAUGAUACAGACCAUUGUGUUCCCAUUCCAAGUUAACAGUUUAAUUUAUCUGAAACACGCUAAUGCUUUCCUCUUUUCGUACUUUCUUUAUCUUAUUUCUUUUCAUGUGUCAACCUAUGGCAAGUCUUUCUAAUUUUCUAAUAUUUAAUUUUAUUUUAUUUUUUCAUUCAUUCAUACAUUCAGAAAAUUUGAAACAUUUGAGCCAGUUACGAACUAACGAGUGCGCAAGUUAUAUUCUCUGAGAAAAAUGAAAGUGCAGAAAAAUGAGAGUGUGAAAACUCACUUCGAUUUUUUAUUAUAAAAUUAGAUGCCUCUGUAGGUUGUCCUUUUCUAGUAUCGGAGAGUAUUGAUGGGCUACAAUCCGCAGAAUGCAUCUGGAUUAAUGAUUAUAUCAUGAUCAGCAACCGUUUAAUUUAUUAAUUUUUUCAAUUUUUUAAAAUGGCUAGUGGUAAUGGGGGUCGAAGCUAAAAAAAAUUUCCUAGUUGAACAUUUUCAAUUCAUCAUUUUCAGAGCUUAAGAUUUCAAAAUUGGGUACAUUGUUUAAAAAAAACCCCAAUUAGUAAACAUGAAAAUGUUGUACGGCGUAAAAUUGGAAACCGUAGCACUAUUCCCUGUUCAAAAGCGCCCACCUCCAACUUUAGUAAAAAAUGGCCGAGGUUUACAAUUUUCAUAGGGCAGUUCCUUUUUGCACAACCAUGUCCCGCAUGUCUUUUCUUUACCAUCUGCCUCAGCAAUUACAGAGCUUUUGUUUGUUCUUUUUCUUUCAAGGUUAAUUACUUUUCAAGAUUUUCUAAGACUUUUUGUGCGAGCUUUCCUCAUGAUCCCAGGUCCCCAUGAUAAUGUUCAAGACGAAAAAGUAAAACUGAAACAAUAAAUACACAUGCAUAUUGCAGGGUCAUCAGGUAAUUUAGUUGAACUCCAAUUAGAUUUAUACUGUUUCUUGUUCUUGAGAAAUCCGUCCAUUAAUUAAUUGUUUUAAUCCCAAACUGAGUUUCUGGCUUUGCCCUUCAAAUAUUUUUUUUUUCUAUAUCAUAGGUGUAAGAGCAUCACAGGAUCUGUGACUCUCACUUUUGAUGUCAACGAGAGGAAGGAAAUUAGUUUGAGAAGACAAAUUGUAAUUAAGAGGGGCUUUUAUUUCGUUGCGUCAAAAAAUCAGGAUUGAAUUUUCCAAUCAAAAACAUUUUCUUGUAUUCUGAACAACCAAUUACGAAUGGUUUUGGUCAUUUUCGUACAAAUGGAGGGAAUAAAGUUGGACUUAAGUCCGUAGUUGUGAGCUCAUAACAAGGAAGUUCAGUUUUUUUUUUAUAUUUUUUUUCUUUUAAUAUCCAAACCAUAUUCAUAAAACUAUACAUUUUGAACUGUCAUACUUCUAGUAUGGUUUGAUAUUCAUAUGAGUUUUGUGACAAAAUAUAUUCUAAAAACACCCUCCUACGGCAGUAUCUGUUAAUUCCUGGUUUUUUGAUGCUGAGGUCCUAUUUUUUGUGAAUGGUCACAAUUAGGUUCUUAAAAAUUAUGUUGCUCACUAUGUAAGCCAGAUCUAUAUGCUCCAACCUCAUUCUUUCAAUUAAUGAUUGUUUUGUUUUUUACCAUAACAAUAACUAUCAGUAUCAGCAGCAAAACUUGUUCUGAACAUCUUUGAUUUCGGUGAUCAUAGAAUCGUUAUCAAAAUGUUGAAGGUUGCCUCAUCAGGAAAUAUCGUACAGAACAGACAUCAAUUGAGUGUAGGUUAGCUGUAUGAAGGUGCCAUAACAGUGUUAAACAUUGUUUUGCCAUCAAUUCUUAAAGCAGUAGAAUUAUGAUUGAAGUAAUCUUUGUGUAUUUUAUGUAGCAGUUUGUAUCUUGUUUUUAAAUUUCCAAUUAUCGUAAAUCAACCGCAUUGAUAAUCAACAAUCAAAUCAUGGAUUCUUUCAUUGUUGCAUUAAAACUGCUAGUCAAAUAUUUGAAUGUUUCUAUUUUUGUUGUUUCUCCACCAGCUGCCGUUUUUUAGGAUCCGAUUCUUUUCAAAAUUGCCGUAGAUUACAUAUCCAGAUAGCAAACAGAGCAUUAUGCAACUAAUUGCAUUGUGGCAGUAAACAAGGUACUGUGUUUACAUCUUCUUGGUUCAAAAACUAAGCAACUUAAUCUCAAUUUUUAUUUUUUUGGAGUAUGGAUCCAAAUUUAUUCAUGAUGAUGGGUUUCAGAAAAAAUUUUGUGAGGCUAUUACUUAUCAAAUUAUUGAUGUUCAUUUUUCGUACGUUAUCAUGAGAGAAAAGUGAGGGAAACAAAUACAAAAACUACAAAAUUACAUCCUUUUGAUUUUCCGCUGAGUAGAUGAUAAAUUUGCACAAUUUUUAUAACAUUCAGGUAAUGACUCUAAUUGUGGUGAUCGUGGUGUAGUUGUUGCAGCGUUUCAGGGAAGUGUCUGUACAAUUAACAUGAGAUAAAAUUUCGAUUUUAUGGAAUGCGAUUUUUUAGUGAUAAAAUUACGGCGAAAUUGAAAACAAUCGCUCAGAUGUUGAUGAUCCUAACGAUUUUAUCACUAAAAAAUCGUAUAAAAUCGCAACUUAAUUUCAAAAUACCGCAAUUUUUCAGUUGAAAAAUGCUGCUUGUGUACUGGCUAAAGUUUUACCUCAUAUUCAGAUCAAAUAUAUAA